AGGUCAUUGAUGUAGCUGAUAAACACACCGUAGUCAAGAUCGCUGAUGUAGCUGAUAAACACACCGUAGUCAAGAUCGCUGAUGUAGCUGAUAAACACACCGUAGUCAAGAUCGCUGAUGUAGCUGAUAAACACACCGUAGUCAAGAUCGCUGAUGUAGCUGAUAAACACACCGUAGUCAAGAUCGCUGAUGUAGCUGAUAAACACACCGUAGUCAAGAUCGCUGAUGUAGCUGAUAAACACACCGUAGUCAAGAUCGCUGAUGUAGCUGAUAAACACACCGUAGUCAAGAUCACUGAUGUAGCUGAUAAACACACCGUAGUCAAGAUCACUGAUGUAGCUGAUAAAC